GACGAACGCUGGCGGCGUGCUUAACACAUGCAAGUCGAACGGAAAGGCCCUGCGUUUGUGGGGUGCUCGAGUGGCGAACGGGUGAGUAAGACGUGAGUAACCUGCCCUUGACUUUGGGAUAACUUCAGGAAACUGGGGCUAAUACCGGAUAGGAGCCCCUGCUGCAUGGUGGGGGGUGGAAAGUUUCGGCGGUUGGGGAUGGACUCGCGGCUUAUCAGCUUGUUGGUGGGGUAGUGGCUUACCAAGGCUUUGACGGGUAGCCGGCCUGAGAGGGUGACCGGCCACAUUGGGACUGAGAUACGGCCCAGACUCCUACGGGAGGCAGCAGUGGGGAAUAUUGCACAAUGGGCGGAAGCCUGAUGCAGCAACGCCGCGUGCGGGAUGACGGCCUUCGGGUUGUAAACCGCUUUCGCCUGUGACGAAGCGUGAGUGACGGUAAUGGGUAAAGAAGCACCGGCUAACUACGUG
rnacentral:rRNA from 1 species